GAUAAACGCUGGCGGCGUGCUUAACACAUGCAAGUCGAACGAAGUUUUUCCUUCGGGAGAAACUUAGUGGCGGACGGGUGAGUAACGCGUGGGUAACCUGCCCUGUACAGGGGGACAACAGCUGUAAACGGCUGCUAAUACCGCAUAAGCCCUUAGCACUGCAUGGUGCAUAGGGAAAGGGAGCAAUCCGGUACAGGAUGGACCCGCGUCUGAUUAGCCAGUUGGCAGGGUAACGGCCUACCAAAGCGACGAUCAGUAGCCGAUCUGAGAGGAUGUACGGCCACAUUGGGACUGAGACACGGCCCAGACUCCUACGGGAGGCAGCAGUGGGGAAUAUUGCACAAUGGAGGAAACUCUGAUGCAGCGACGCCGCGUGAGUGAAGAAGUAUUUCGGUAUGUAAAGCUCUAUCAGCAGGGAAGAAAAUGACGGUACCUGACUAAGAAGCACCGGCUAAAUACGUG
rnacentral:rRNA from 1 species